CCCUGGACAACCAAGUCCUUAUCAUGGUAACCGAAGUCUUGGUUUUCCAGUAUUUGCCAGUAUGGACAGCCUGGAUAUUUUUCUGCACUGUUUUUGUUGUGUCUAAUAAGUGCUCAUAAAAACAACAGGCCAACUAAUUUGAACUACAUGCGAAAGAUCAGUACUUUAGCCUGAGUUGUCAUUGAAGUGUUUUGGCCUGACAUUUUGUUGAGUGGAAUUUUUUGGCAAGCUUGAUGGAACCACUUCUUGCAAUUGGUGCAUUCUGCCAUCUGGUCUUUGGUUGGAUUGUAUGGGAGGCGGCAGUCACAGUACACUGGCAUGGCAACAGUCUCUUCAUAACCAAUGCUUGAUUUUUCCUCAAAGGGGAAUAUACCAAUGUAUCCAUUUUUAAGGGAAUCUAAGAGAUGUGCCCUUAUUGCCCGCCUGUUGAACUUAAGUGAUGUGGGGUCCAUAUUAUGGCAGAGUGCUGUGGCAAAUGCAAUCACAAAAACUCCACAGUCUGUCCCAUUUGUUUGCUGGUCAACAGGAGGGACACAAAUUUCAAUAACAUUGCUGUCUUGGUUGAAAAGAAGGGCACCAAUCUGCUCUCUGGUGAAUGGCGCAAUUCCACUAUAAAGACUGUCAUAGAGUUUCACUUGGUUGUUGUGGCUGCAUCCAAUAUUACUGACACAAACCCAGUGAUUACCACCAGUGUGUAGCACUUGAAUGAAGCUGUUCCGCAUCACUGGAAACUGUUCUGCCUUCCCAAUUGUUGGAGACAGCAGCCCCUCGAUAUAAGGAAAUUGGCGAUGCAACAGUUCUUGGGCCAUUUGUAUUUGAAGAUCUGAAUGCAUCUGCCUCAUGCUUUCCACCACUUUCUAGGAGAUCCUCAGCCUGGUUGCGUGUAAUUUGUAAUUGCUGACAACAUAGGGUAAUUAGAGCCUCUGGUAAAAGUACCUCCAUUAAGUACUUUUGACUGACCUUUGGGAAGUGCUUUGCUAUUAGAGUUACCAUGUGAUAUGUUUGAUUUUCCUCAAAGUCCCCAAAUGGCACAUUGAACUUGAGAUCUACCCUUUCGAUCAUCUCUUUAUCCCUGUCUGAUAAUAUUCUUCCAUGGAAAAUUUCAUGUCGCCAGCUUUCCUUGGUGCCACUGAGUACUUCUGAAAGGUGAUCUUUGAUUACUUUGUCAAAGCAGGAAGCAAUGUCCUUCUUUGAAAUGUUCUGUAUUUUUUUGUUUGGUUCAAAGGGCUGGUAUUUUGCCGGUUGCUGAGCCCCUGGCAGAUUAGGUGGUUUUGGCUGCCUGGAAGGUGCUUGCUGAUUAAGUGAUGUUUGCUGUUUGGAAGGUGCUGGCUGAUUAAGUGAUGUUUGUUGUUUGGAAGGUGCUGGCUGAUUAAG